rnacentral:rRNA from 1 species
AUACGUAGGGUGCGAGCGUUGUCCGGAAUUACUGGGCGCAAAGAGCUCGUAGGUGGUUUGUCGCGUCGUCUGUGAAAUUCCGGGGCUUAACUCCGGGCGUGCAGGCGAUACGGGCAUAACUUGAGUACUGUAGGGGAGACUGGAAUUCCUGGUGUAGCGGUGAAAUGCGCAGAUAUCAGGAGGAACACCGGUGGCGACGGCGGGUCUCUGGGCAGUAACUGACGCUGAGGAGCGAAAGCAUGGGUAGCGAACAGGAUUAGAUACCCUGGUAGUCCAUGCCGUAAACGGUGGGCGCUAGGUGUAGGGGUCUUCCACGACUUCUGUGCCGUAGCUAACGCAUUAAGCGCCCCGCCUGGGGAGUACGGCCGCAAGGCUAAAACUCAAAUGAAUUGACGGGG